GGCUGCACCUCUCUCCACAGCGAGAACUUCUCGCUCUCCCUUGAGCUCUCCCUGCAAACCUACCCUUGGUCUGGAUGGACCCAGAGGCCCUGGCCAUGUUCCCUCUGGCCUGCCCGCCCAGCCUGGACCUCACGGGGGCCCCUUCAGCCUCCUCCAGCCACCCAACCCAGGCACUGUGGCUCUGGCUGCCGAGCCUUUCAGGAGAAAAUCUCAUGUCUUUGCCAACUGGCAACCAACAGAUUGAUGGGCUCUAGACUCAGCUGGGCGGGAGACCCACUGCCCAGGGCUGCACCGGAGCCCCUGCUGAGCGCUGCCCUGAGCUCAAGCUCUGCACGGUGCCUGGCACGCAUGACGUGCACGCCGUGAACAGGGUCCAAGCCUGAGUCACUCCCCAGCUCCACCACCACCCCGGCAAACAGCAAAAAUAACAAUGCCCAGAAGCACUUAGACACAUGACGUCCUCUGGGUGGGUUCCUGGAGAAGGAAGCCAAGGGACAGGGGGUGUCUUUGCCCCGUAUUUUGUUGAGCACAGUCCCCAGGCUCCUCCAGGCCACCCUUCCCCAGGCCCGCCAGACCCCACCUCCCAGGCAGGGCCACCUCUGGCCUGGCCUGGCCCCACCUCUGCUGUUUUCCUGUCUCUAUCCUGAAAAGGGCGGGUUUCAGGGUUCUCGCGACCACCAAGGCCCCUCUGCUCUCGCCUCCUUCCAUUGGGGCCAAAACUCCAGAAAGAUCCGUCCUUCUCACCAUCCCCACUUCCUCCCGUCUCCCCCACACACACGUAGACACAAAUAGGCCUCGCAGGCCUGGGGGCGCUCCUGUGGGCAAAGCACCCAGAAUAGUGCCUGGCGCAGUGCUGGGGGCAGCCCCCCAGUGGAGCCCAGCCCUGUGCCCGCAGCCACCCCUGGGCCUCAAGGCCACCAGGAGGGCCCUCACUGGUGCAUCUCCCCUCCCUGCUUCAGCAUUUAAUGUGCCAGCAAUGCCCAGGCCCUCCAGCGUGGGUGGUUCACGCCCCCAUCCCAGUUUCUGGCCUUCUGGUGGGCCCACUUCGCCCGCUGCUGGCUACCCGCUUGGUGGGGCAGUUUGCCUCAGCUGCACUCAGAUGUGUCCCCUCCUGCCAUCCCGCCAUCCUGCCCUUGGCUAUCACUCCCUCCAGCCCACUUCCUCUUCUGAAUCCCAGCUCGGCCCUCCCUCUCUCCUCUCUGUCCACAGUGGCCUGGUCCCCAAAGGCUAACGCCAGUUUCUGUCCCAGCUAACCUGACUCCCCCUUGAACCUUCACCUCCCUUGGUUUCCAUGACAACUCAUGGGGGGCCCUGGCCCAGUCCUCACUCUGCCCAGGUGGACCCACCUCACCCACCCUAGUCUACUGUCUUCCUUCUGAGGCCCUGUUGUCUUCCCACAUACUCUGAUUCUCUUAUUUGUUGUUUAGUCUCUGUUUUUCCCGGUGGAGAGGGACUUUGCCUGUUUGGGUCACUGACGUGUCCAGGCCCCUGGAAUGUCCUGAAGCUCAGUGGUGCUGCACAUCUUUGCUGGGUGGGUCAGUCAUGGCUUCAGCCUUCACCUGCAAAUUCACAUCCAACCUUCUCUCUUCUCAUGGGUCCCCUCCCAGACUGCAGAGCAGUUCGUGUGAGACGGGAACCCUUGCAUGCUCACUUGGCUAUAGAACUGUCUGGAUCUGGUGUGGUUCUUGGGGAGGACUAAUCCUUUGUUACUGAUUUCACAUGUUAUUACUUUAUGGGUCUGCCGCCAGGCUGGAGUGCAGUGGCGCCGUCA